rnacentral:rRNA from 1 species
AUACGUAGGUGGCAAGCGUUGUCCGGAAUUACUGGGUGUAAAGGGCGUGUAGACGGGAUUGCAAGUCAGAUGUGAAAGCCCCAGGCUUAACCUGGGAACUGCAUCUGAAACUGUGAUUCUUGAGUGUCGGAGAGGAAAGCGGAAUUCCUAGUGUAGCGGUGAAAUGCGUAGAUAUUAGGAGGAACACCAGUGGCGAAGGCGGCUUUCUGGACGAUAACUGACGUUGAGGCGCGAAAGCGUGGGGAGCAAACAGGAUUAGAUACCCUGGUAGUCCACGCCGUAAACGAUGGAUACUAGGUGUAGGGGGUAUCGACCCCCCCUGUGCCGGAGUAAACACAAUAAGUAUCCCACCUGGGGAGUACGGCCGCAAGGUUGAA